GUCCGCGCGCGCGGGGCGGCCGCGGCGGUGAGCCUGCGCGUCAGGGCCGCCGGCCUCUCCUUGGCUGUUGGAGGUGAUAGGGGUCGAGGGGAGGGAAAAAGGGGCUGGCGUCAGCCGCCCCUGUGAGGUGGCCGUAGCGUGGACGAGUAAGAAGGGUUGAGUAAAGUGGACAAACACCUGGUUAGGAGAAGAGGGCAGGCCCGCAGCCGCCCUCCGGAGGAGGACUCGGGGCCUCGCGGGCGCCGGAGGAGGUUCCUGGGCCUCGGAGGGCCGCCCCGGCGCGCCGCCCCGGCGCGAGCGGGCGCGGGCGGGGGAGGGGAAGUGAGAGGUUGUUUAUGACCGGGGACUAAUCUCCUCCGCGAGUCCCAGCGCUCCCUCUGGGGAGUGCGGUUGAGGGGCUGUCCUCGCACGGAGCCUCGCUCGGCCUCGGGGGAGCCACGAGAGGUGGGAGUUGGACCCGCAGCGGGCCAGGAGCCCUGUCAUUGGAGGACCCGCCAAAAAGGAAGCAAACCCUCUUUUUCUUUAUCCAACCCCAAAUAGCUAGGGCCUAGGGGGAAGACUCACAUAUCGAUAAAUGGUUUGUUGCCCGUUUUAUUCUCUGGGAAAUACAACUGAUCUUACCAAAGAAAUAACCUGUCUCUUGCCGUGUUUACUUAGAGCCAUAGAAUACCUGUUUCAGAGCUGAAGGGGACCUGAGCCCAUGAUAAUCCAUUACCUCGUGAGAAAGCGGAAAAACUGACUUCAGCUUGCCCAGAUGGCGCAGAGAAUGGGUUUCCCGUAACCCCGCCUGUGUCUUUCCUUCAGCCUCGUCCCAAAUGCCGUGGGAGGGAAGGCACUCUCUGUCAAGCUGCUGUCACCUUACCUGAAGUAAGGAGUCCACGCCUGCAUGUCCGAGGAAAACAGUUUUCUCAAACACAUUAGUUGAAAAACUGAAGACGCUGCCUAAAAUACAAGCUGAGUUAGAGACAGCCCUUGUAAGACUAGAAAAAGAAAUGGAAACUAAGUAACAUGAAUUAACAUAGUCCAGGGUCACAAAGCAACAUGGAACAAGAACCUGGAUCUGAAUUCAGAGGCAGAAUGCUGGGCCUGAGAAUCAGGAGAGUCAAUGGUAUUAGUGCUUGUCCGGAAGCCAUCAUGCUUCAAAACCAAGAAGAGCUGAUUUUCCAGUUGGAGUCUAAAGGUGAGGUGAUGCCGCGCCCUGCUUCGACUCACACUUGGUGUGCUGCACCCACUGUCCUGCACCCACGGUCCGACAAUCCCCAGUGAAAUGAACCCAGUACCUCAGUUGGAAAUGCAGAAAUCAUUUGUCUUCUGUGUGCCUCACGCUGGGAGCUGAAGACUGGAGCUGUUCCUAUUCGGCCAUCUUGGCUAGCCAAAAACUACCGCAAUUUCUUUAUCCAGUCUAUCACUGAUGGACAUUUGGGUUGGUUCCAAGUCUUUGCUAUUGUGAAUAGUGCCACAAUAAACAUAUGUGUGCAUGUGUCUUAA
rnacentral:lncRNA from 10 species